rnacentral:rRNA from 1 species
UACAGAGGGUGCGAGCGUUAAUCGGAAUUACUGGGCGUAAAGCGCGCGUAGGCGGCUUUGCAAGUCGGGUGUGAAAUCCCCAGGCUUAACCUGGGAACUGCAUUCGAGACUGCAUUGCUAGAGUAUGGGAGAGGGAAGUGGAAUUUCCGGUGUAGCGGUGAAAUGCGUAGAUAUCGGAAGGAACAUCAGUGGCGAAGGCGAGUCUCUGGGAUGAUACUGACGCUGAUGCUCGAAAGCUAGGGAGCAAACGGG